rnacentral:rRNA from 1 species
CCUACGGGUGGCAGCAGUGAGGAAUAUUGGUCAAUGGCCGGAAGGCUGAACCAGCCAAGCCGCGUGAAGGUCAGUGCCCUACGGGCGUUAAACUUCUUUUGUGCGGGAGCAAUAGUGGUCACGUGUGGCCAGCCGAGAGUACCUUACGAAUAAGCAUCGGCUAACUCCGUGCCAGCAGCCGCGGUAAUACGGAGGGACCGAGCGUUGUCCGGAUUUGUUGGGUUUAAAGGGAGCGUAGAUGGGGUGUUAAGUCAGUUGUGAAAGUUUGCGGGUCAACCGUAAAAUUGCAAUUGAAACUGGCAGUCUUGAGUACAGUUGAGGUAGGCGGAAUUCGUGGUGUAGCGGUGAAAUGCUUAGAUAUCACGAAGAACCCCGAUUGCGAAGGCAGCUUACUAAACUGUGACUGACAUUGAUGCUCGAAAGUGUGGGUAUCAAACAGGAUUAGAUACCCCAGUAGUC